UCUAUAUCAUCCACUUCAGAAGAAACACAUUAGCGAUUCAACAAACUCUCUAGAAUAAAAUAUUGAAAGACCUACAGAAAUGGAAAAGGCAAACAUAAGCCAGCGGGAGCUUCAGGCCAUUAAGAGCCUUAUGCUACUCAGCAACACUCACAAAAAUGUCAGUGUUGAAAACCAGCUUCUGGCACUUAAAGAAGUGAACACCAGACAAAAUCUGGAAAUCCGAGGCCUGAAAUGCAAAAUCAGCAGCAU